UACGGGGGGGGUAAGCGUUGUUCGGAAUUACUGGGCGUAAAGGGCUCGUAGGCGGCCAACUAAGUCAUACGUGAAAUCCCUCAGCUUAACUGGGGAACUGCGUGUGAUACUGGAUGGCUUGGAUUUGGGAGAGGGAUGCGGAAUUCCAGGUGUAGCGGUGAAAUGCGUAGAUAUCUGGAGGAACACCGGUGGCGAAGGCGGCAUCCUGGACCAAUAUUGACGCUGAGGAGCGAAAGCCAGG
rnacentral:rRNA from 1 species